rnacentral:rRNA from 1 species
AUUGAACGCUGGCGGCAGGCCUAACACAUGCAAGUCGAGCGAGCGGCGGACGGGUGAGUAAUGUCUGGGAAACUGCCUGUUGGAGGGGGAUAAAUAUUGGAAACGGUAGCUAAUACCGCACACCAUCAGAUGUGUCCCGAUGGGAUUAGCUAGUAGGUGGGGUAACGGCUCACCUAGGCGACGAUCCCGAGCUGGUCUGAGAGGAUGACCAGCCACACUGGAACUGAGACACGGUCCAGACGCCUACGGGAGGCAGAAGUGGGGAAUAUUGCACAAUGGGCGCAAGCCUGAUGCAGCCAUGCCGCGUGUGUGAAGAAGGCCUUCGGGUUGUAAAGCACUUUCGGUAGCGAGGCGUUAACUACAGAAGAAGCACCGGCUAACUCCGUGCCAGCCGCCGCGGUAAUAC